GAUAAACGCUGGCGGCGUGCAUGAGACAUGCAAGUCGAACGGGCUUCUCGGGCUUGCUCGAGAGGCUAGUGGCGGACGGCUGAGUAACGCGUGGGUGACCUACCCGAAGUGGGAAUAACUGCCCGAAAGGUGGCUAAUACCGCAUACGAUCAGUCAUUCAUUUGAUUGAUCAAAGCAGCAAUGCGCUUUGGGAGGGGCCUGCGUCCGAUUAGCUCGUUGGUGGGGUAAUGGCUCACCAAGGCGACGAUCGGUAGGUGGUCUGAGAGGACGAUCACCCAGACUGGGACUGAGACACGGCCCAGACUCCUACGGGUGGCAG
rnacentral:rRNA from 1 species